rnacentral:rRNA from 1 species
UUUUUGUUUGGAGAGUUUGAUCCUGGCUCAGGACGAACGCUGGCGGCGUGCUUAACACAUGCAAGUCGAACGGAAAGGCCCCUUCGGGGGUGCUCGA